rnacentral:piRNA from 1 species
UAGUUCCGAUUAACACGCUGCUGACC